GACGAACGCUGGCGGCGUGCUUAACACAUGCAAGUCGAACGGAAAGGCCCUGCUUUUGUGGGGUGCUCGAGUGGCGAACGGGUGAGUAACACGGGAGUAACCUGCCCUUGACUUUGGGAUAACUUCAGGAAACUGGGGCUAAUACCGGAUAGGAGCUCCGGCUGCAUGGUGGGGGUUGGAAAGUUUCGGCGGUUGGGGAGGGACUCGCGGCUUAUCAGCGUGUUGGUGGGGUAGUGGCUUACCAAGGCUUUGACGGGUAGCCGGCCUGAGAGGGUGACCGGCCACAUUGGGACUGAGAUACGGCCCAGCCUCCUACGGGAGGCAGCAGUGGGGAAUAUUGCACAAUGGGCGGAAGCCUGAUGCAGCAACGCCGCGUGCGGGAUGACGGCCUUCGGGUUGUAAACCGCUUUCGCCUGUGACGAAGCGUGAGUGACGGUAAUGGGUAAAGAAGCACCGGCUAACUACGUG
rnacentral:rRNA from 1 species